CUGGACUGUUUUACACUUGACACUGUGGAUACGUGGCUCUUCAUUCAGCAGAGCAACGAAGGCAAAUGUUGGAGACCAGUUGAUUUUCUACCAGAAAUGAGCUGUAGCUUGGAAAAGCUAAAAGGAAAUAUGUUUUUUGCUCACUCCAUUUCAGAAAGCUGAGAGAAUGAAAUGGGCACAUGUCAGCCCAAAGACAGAAAGCAGAGAAGAAGUCACUGCAUGUGCAGAAGCAUGUCUAGAAGACAGCUGCUACAGAAAAGAGGGCAUUACAAAAAAGCAGGAAAAAACCCUUCAAAGUAAAUGAAAAGAAACAGACAGUUCUUCAAAACAAGAGAGGGAAUUAGAAAAAGAACAUUUGGAGAGGAAAAAGCAUUUGGAAUUUUUCUAAGAAGAAGGUACAAACUCAACUCUCAGAAGUAAGAAUCAGAUGAGGGAAGGUGAAGAUUAUUACAGGCACAAAGAACAGAAGUGCAAAGAGUUGGAGAAAGAUCAUUAAUCGUUCUGGGAAUCAGAAGCGUCCUGUGAUACGCAAAAUGAGGAGAUGGAAUAAUCCAUUUUUGCCUGGGGACAGUGAAAGGACAGAGGAACGUCUCAUUAGAGAAGGUGUUUGACUUGGACCCUGAAGAAUUUUGCCAGGUGGAGAUAGAGAAAGACUCUAGCCAAGGAAAAGUUAAUUUGAAAAGGCAGAGAGUCAGAAGAAAGCAAACCCUUUUUUCCUUCAUGGCAAAUUUCUCAAAACGGAAUUGCUGGAUCAAAGGAGAUGUACACAUAGAAGACUUUUGUUAUGUCCUGCUUCAUUUCCCUCCUGGAAGAUGCAUCAACCUCUACGCCCACCAGCAGCCAAGUGCUAAUUUUUGAAAGUACACUGUAAUGCAUCCAAUGUAGACAAUGGUGUGGGUGAAUUUAAAGCUGCUUUUUAGUAAAUUCACAAGGAAAUAUCUGAGUCGGUUAAAAAGAAGUUCCUCUUUUCCGACUACAUUUCCAGUCAUAGGAACAAUGAGAUCCUCGGGAAGAUACAAAAAUGAAUGUGACAACCCUGGCGUACGACUGCUUCAGGAAAUCUUCAUAUUCUCUCUGACUUUGGAGCAACUAGAGAAACUUUUAAACAAAGAAUUGCUUAACGUUCAUCAUGAUGGAUCCAGGUCCUAUCACCCCAGGCUCUUUCCUAAGGCCUGGCCCUCACUCCUACUGUUCUUUCCUCCUGCUGUCAUCUCCUCAGACUAUUUGCCAGUCUAGAGCAAUCUCCUUUAGGAUCUCUGAAAUGAAAAGAGGAAACUCGGGGAAGGCGGUUCCUUCUGUCACCCAGGUCUCUGGAACAUUCCAAUAGACCAAAUUUGGAAAAGAAAGCCAUUACAUUGUGGAAAAUUUAAAGGCUAAGACAUUCCAAAGACAAAUGAUGAAUCGAAAACAGUAUCGACAAAAUUUAACUUCAGUUUAUAGCCGACAAACUGCUACAAUUUUGCACAUGGGUGCACAUGUGGAAGCUUUUCCAUAAGAGACAGCAGCCACCACAAAUAUUUGUGAAGAUGUGCUUUCUCCUUUGUCUAGGGUUUACGCUCUCCAGUUUAGAUUGAAUUCAUGUGGUAUCCUGGGUUGUUCAUUGUUGUAAUGUUUUACUUUGUUCGGAAAUUGAUGCUAUUGUCAUUCAACUCUCUGAGUGACACAUCAACACAGCCUUCUUUGAGUGCCAAGCAAUAUGGAUUACAGAGUAAACACAGUGCAGAAACCACAAGUUCUCAAGCCUGCAAAUCACGAUUAGUUCAGCAAGAAUCCAGGACACUGAAGGAAAGAUGAAGAGAAACAACCCUUCAAAAGUGAAGAAGGAGCAAUUAUCACCUCUAUAUAUUUUGAAUCAUACUCUAGGAAAUGUUAGAAUAAAAGAUGAAAAUUG
rnacentral:lncRNA from 1 species